UGUCAGUGUUCUGUCAGUGAUCAGUCCCAUGUAGGUCUCGGUGGUUUCCGUAUCAGGGUGUCUUCCGGCGCGAUAUGGAUGGGGUUGUUGAAAUCCACCUCGAUGGUGUCCGGUAUCGGGUCGUAGUAGAUUACGUGCUCGUUGUGGUUUUCUGCAAA